GGCGGAUGCCUUGGCUCUCGGAGGCGAUGAAGGACGUGAUAAGCUGCGAUAAGCUGCGGGUAGGUGCAAAUGACCUUUGAUCCGCGGAUUUCCGAAUGGGACAACCCGAUACUUUGAAGAAGUAUCAUCCUGCAUUGCAGGAGGCUAACGCAGGGAACUGAAACAUCUUAGUACCUGCAGGAAAAGAAAAUAAACAAUGAUUCCCCCAGUAGUGGCGAGCGAACGGGGAACAGCCCAAACCAUCCAUGUUACGGCAUGGGUGGGGUUGUAGGACCACGCCGUGGCAAGAAAGUUGGUGAGCAGAAUGUUCUGGAAAGUACAGCCAUAGAGCAUGACAGCUGCGUAUGCGAAGCCAAGCGAAGCCUAGUGGUAUCCUGAGUAGCGCGGAGCACGAGGAAUUCUGCGUGAAUCUGCCGGGACCAUCCGGUAAGGCUAAAUACUCCCGAGAGACCGAUAGUGAACCAGUACUGUGAAGGAAAGGUGAAAAGCACUUCGAACAGAAGAGUGAAAUAGUUCCUGAAACCAUGUGCCUACAAGCGGUCGGAGCACCUUUUGGUGUGACGGCGUGCCUUUUGCAUAAUGAACCUACGAGUUACUUUUUCCGGCGAGGUUAAGGAUUUCAGAUCUGCAGCCGAAGCGAAAGCGAGUCUGAACAGGGCGUAUAGUCGGAAGGAGUAGACGCGAAACCAAGUGAUCUACCCUUGGGCAGGUUGAAGGAUGGGUAACACCAUCUGGAGGACCGAACCAAUAAGCGUUGAAAAGCUUCUGGAUGACCUGAGGGUGGGGGUGAAAGGCUAAUCAAACUUGGAGAUAGCUCGUACUCCCCGAAAUGCAUUUAGGUGCAGCCUUGACUUAUACUGGCAUGAGGUAGAGCGACUGAUAAGAUGCGAGGGCUUCACCGCCUAUCAAGUCUUGACAAACUCCGAAUGCGUGUCAGUUCUAUGUCAGGAGUGAGGGCAUGGGUGCUAAGGUCCAUGUCCUAAAGGAGAACAAUCCGGACCAACAGCUAAGGUCCCGAAAUGAAUACUAAGUUGAACUAACGAAGUCAGAUUGCUAAGACAGCUAGGAUGUUGGCUUGGAAGCAGCCAUUCAUUUAAAGAGUGCGUAACAGCUCACUAGUCGAGGAGUUUGGCGUGGAUAAUAAUCGGGCAUAAGUAUUCUACCGAAGCUUUGGGAUGAGAAAUCAUCGGUAGGGGAGCAUUCCACUCGGCGUCGAAGGUGAGGCGCGAGCCUUGCUGGAGCGUGUGGAAAAGCAAAUGUAGGUAUAAGUAACGAUAAGGCAGGCGAGAAACCUGCCCGCCGAAAGACUAAGGUUUCCUGAUCAACGCUAAUCGGAUCAGGGUAAGUCGGGUCCUAAGGCUCAGCCGAACGGCGAGGCCGAUGGCAGAACCGGUUAAUAUUCCGGUACUACCUGUGGGAGUGACGUGGAGACGGAGUCGUGACAGCGCCGCGGACUGACGGAAUAGUCCGUUGAAGGGUGUAGAUGCUGAUUGUUCCAGGCAAAUCCGGAGCAAGAGUCGAACCUGAUAGUAUGGAGCGUUCUUAGAACAAUCCAAUAGUGCGUGUAAUCAUACUUCCAAGAAAAUCCGCUAAACUUAAUCCUGCAGGUACCCGUACCGCAAACGGACACACGUAGUCGGGUUGAAUAUACUAAGGCGCUUGAGUGAUUCACGGUUAAGGAACUAGGCAAACUGACCCUGUAACUUCGGGAUAAAGGGUCCUCGCUUAACGGCGAGGCGCAGAGAAUAGGUCCAGGCAACUGUUUAACAAAAACACAGGGCUGUGCAAAAUUGAAAGAUGAAGUAUACAGCCUGACACCUGCCCGGUGCUGGAAGGUUAAGAGGAGAUGUCAUCGCAAGAGAAGCAUUGAAUUGAAGCCCCAGUAAACGGCGGCCGUAACUAUAACGGUCCUAAGGUAGCGAAAUUCCUUGUCGGGU
rnacentral:rRNA from 1 species